CUAGCACAUUCACAGGUCCUCUCCUGAUCUGUGGGGCCAGGAUUUGGUAGCUGGUGCUAAGAGAAAACCCCCUGAUUGCAUCCUUGCCCUGGUACUGUACCAGUGGCAGAUAUCAUUCAGUGGGACAAAG
ensembl:snoRNA